GAUUUUUACAACAUUUAUUCUCCUUUUUCUGAUUACAAAACGAACGUGCUCAUUGCCAAAAACAUUGAAAAUACACCGUAAAUACACAGGAAAUAGGAAAUUACUCAUGAUUUGGCUGCGCAGAGAUCACUGUGAUUAGCAUUUGGUGGGUCACUUUGACUUCUUCUCAUUGUGCACUUUCCCUUUUAGUAAAUCUUACACUGGGACCAUUUCUUAUGUCCUCACUCUUCUUCAAAGGCCUCGUAUUUGAUGGCUGCAUAAUAUUCCAUUUCGUCAUUUUAUCAUUAUUUAAUCAAGCGUGCCACACACAGAUGAUCGUGACACCCCCUGUGCCCAUCCUCCUCCACAGACACAACCCCUGGCCACCCCCGCAUCUGUAAACACACCCGGCCGUGCCGCAGUGGCCCCUAAGCCUCACAAUUGAGGUGAUUUCCCAGAGGAGGCUGAACAAUGCCCUGGACAUGUGGACCCAGCAGGGUGGGGUUCCAGCCUUUUCCUCCUACUGUCCCUCAGACAGACAGAGAGACAGACAGAUGGCCAGCCAGCCAGACAGGCAGACAG
rnacentral:lncRNA from 1 species